rnacentral:rRNA from 1 species
GACGAACGCUGGCGGCGUGCCUAAUACAUGCAAGUCGAACGCAGUGGGGACGGGUGAGUAACACGUGGGUAACCUCGCAUCAGAGGGGAUAACACUUGGAAACAGGUGCUAAACCGAUAAGGGAGGAUGGACCCGCGGUGCAUUAGCUAGUUGGUGAGGUAACGGCUCACCAAGGCAACGAUGCAUAGGCGACUGGAGAGGGUGAUCGGCCACACGGUGACGGAGAAACGGCCCCGACUCCUACGGGAGGCAGCAGUAGGGAAUCUUCGGCAAUGGACGAAAGUCUGACCGAGCAACGCAGCGGGAGUGAAGAAGGUUUUCGGAUCGUAAAACUCUGUUGUUAGAGAAGCGGUAUCUAACCAGAAAGCCACGGCUAACUACGUGCCAGCAGCCGCGGUAAUUC